rnacentral:rRNA from 1 species
AGUGAAAGUGGCGGACGGGUGAGUAACACGUGAACAAUCUGCCUUGUACUGGAGAAUAGCCCCGGGAAACUGGGAAUAAAACUGCAUAAGACCACAGUAUCGCAUGAUACAGAGGUAAAAUCUACGGAGGUACAAGAGGAGUUCGCGUCUGAUUAGCUAGUUGGUGAGGUAAUGGCUCACCAAGGCCACGAUCAGUAGCCGGCCUGAGAGGGUGUACGGCCACACUGGAACUGAGAUACGGUCCAGACUCC